rnacentral:misc_RNA from 1 species
GAAAGUAAAAGUCGUAACAAGGUUUCCGUAGGUGAACCUGCGGAAGGAUCAUUAAUGAGUUGUCAUGGGGUUCGAUGCUGGCAGCCAGUUUUUGGAUGCAUGUGCUUGCCCUAACAAUCAUCUUCUUCCAAACACCUGUGCACAUUUUUGAGGGAGUCUUGAGUUGGUUGCCGCUCUUGGGUGAUUUUCUCACAUUCCCUUAAAUCAUUAUACGCUAUUAACAAUGUUGAACGUGCUCUGUGCCGCAAGGCUAUUAAUAUAAUACAACUUUUAACAACGGAUCUCUUGGCUCUC